UGGUAGCGCCCUAACCGUUGAUUAAAUCUUACCUUGAUGCAUCCUCACAUAGUAUCAGCAUUUGGGAGCAAAUAUGAGGCGUAAGAAAAGGGAAAUACAUCCAUACAUCCCUCUGCGCAUCGGAGAACGGUGCGUCGGCGUGUUCAAUGACCGUCAAAAAAGUCAAAGGGCAUCCUGGAGCUGUCACCGCCAAACCCACCCACUACACACGCCGUGAAGGAACCUCGCUCCGGUCCUUACCCACAAGGCACCUGGACAGGAGGGAGGACGGCGGCGUGAAGUAAAUACAAUAAGCGUUACCAAGUUUUCCCUGGACCGGACUUCUGGAACACUUUGCACUCCUGCUCCUCCGUCACUGUCACUGACACUGACACACAAAGAGAGAGCAGCGCACAGCAGAGCUGUCCUGUCCGAGACUGCCAGAACCACCCGCCCCCGUCUCCCUUGGAAGACAUUUCUUACUCAAGUUACUCCGAGUCAGAGUCAGAGCGUUUAUUUUGCACGACCACAGCCCAAUAAAGAAGGUCGAGCACGACGAGACUGUGACUCCAUCAAACAAAUGAAGUGUGAUUCUCACCUAAACUGCUGCACGGAAUGCUUUCGCAAUUUGCUGUCAUGCACAAACAGUGGAACUUACAAGGUUUUCUGCACUUUUAUUUGGAUUUUGACAUAGAACACAUGAAUAAUCAAACCAUUUAUGGUACAGUUGUUGUUUGAAGUAACACUUUAAUAUAUUUGACUGCCACAUCCUCAUACUUUGGUACGUGACAAAAAAAAACUAUAUUAGGAAAGCAGGAAGUGAACAAAUGUAACAGUUACUGAUUGUAAAAGUACCAGAUGGAGGGGUAGGAUUUAAUAAGCUUUGCUUCUUCCUACUCCUUUUGGACAUGUGGAACUGUGAACUGAUUACGUGAUGCAUUCAAUUGUAAUCUGAUGCAUGUUCAAAUGAAAUAAAACCAUUACCAUUACCAUUACAUAUGUAAAAAUAAGUUAUCCACUGUCAGUAUUAAGACAAAGACAAAGGCUUUACUUAUGCAGUGAAAAUAUGACGUAUGUUAUGAGGUCUAUCUCAUCUUUAAAGUAUGUUUGAUGUAUGUUUUUGUGUUUUUUUAAAUUUUAUAUUUUUACAUUCUUUUUCUUAGAAAUGUCAAAUAGUUCUGGGAAGUCUGACAUAGCAAGUACUGUCGGCUCAUUGGUCGAUCAAUGAAACUCCCGUCUGAGUGACAGGAUGGACAGUUAAGCAUUUGUCAUCUUUCUGGGAUGGCGUAAUUAGAACGAACAACGGAGUUACGCAACAAUCAGGUUCCAUUGAAAAUGAAUGGACUCGGUCCGAUGUUGUCCAUUACAGUUUAAAUCCAAGUACCCCUAAAUGUAUCGUGACAGCUGUUUGGUGCAAUUCAAAAUGUGCUAUGACAGAAAAAUAAAAGUACACUUUAAAAAAGCCAAAGAAAAAGCAAAGCAUAUGCGCAGAGUCAACAAUUUUUUUUAUGCUUUCUUCAUCUGAAAGGACGUUGAUGUCUUUAUUGGAAGAUCUUAUAGAACAAAUGUAGUUCAAACUCCUUCUGAGACAUUUUGCUUGAAAACUACCCGAUCGCGCCUGUGAUAGAGCUUGUGUUGCAAAAGGAGAUUAUAAGUAUGGAAGGACAGUUCAAGUUUUACAUUCUUUUUCUUAGAAAUGUCAAAUAGUUUCAGGAAAUCUGACAUGGCAAGUACUCAUCAGCAUCCUGUCGGCUCAUUGGUCGAUCAAUGAAACCCCCGCUGAUUGGUCCUUGUCUGGUUGACAGCGAUCGACAGUUGAGCAUUUGUCAUCUUUCUGAGAUGGCGUAAUAAGAACGAACAACAACUUUCACACACACAAAUGUCAUGUGUUGCUUGGCUGGACGGAGACACGCAACAAUCAGGUUCCAUUGAAAAUGAAUGGACUCGGUUCGAUGUUGUCCAUUACAGUUUAAGUCCAAGUACCUCUAAUUGUAUCGUGACAGCCGUUUGGUGCAAUUCGAAAUCUGCUAUGACGGAAAAAUAAAAGUACACUUUAAAAAAGCCAAAGAAAAAGCAAAGCAUAUGCGCAGAGUCAACUAUUUUUUUAACGCUUUCUUUGUCUGGAAGGACGUUGAUGUUUUUAUUGGAAGAUCUUACAGUACAAAUGUCGUUCAAACUCCUUCUGAGACAUUUUGCUUGAAAACUACCCGUGAUAGAGCUUGUGUUGCAAAAGCAGAUUAUAAGCAUGGAAGGACAGUUCAAGAGGGAAGAAGGGGAGAGAGUUUUUGAAGGGUUUGGAUUGCACAGACUGGAGCCCAAGGCUGGCUAAUAGCAUCUGACACACUGCAAUUUUGAGGCUUAUAUCAACAUUGUUUUUACAGCUGUAAUUAAGCCACCUAAUCAGAAGCACAUUGGUCGGGACAGUCUGGGGCCGUGAGGGGGCAGACGUGUACACACACACACACACACACAUAUACACGACUGUGUUCAGCCCUGCGGCAAACAGCAGCAACAGAGCUGGGCCCAGGCGAGGUGGAGGCCAGCCAAGGCAGCUGUGGGUGGGAGAUCAUCCUGAGUGUGACACACACUCACAUUGCACGUCAGCGAGGCCUCGGCCAUGCUGAAUGCAAAUGUGGCAAAAUGGAGCAUCAUGUUCGUUUUGGAAUUUAUCUGCGGAAGUCCUAACAUGUGCAUGUUGUAGCGGCGUGUAUAUGUGUGUUUAUCAAACGCUCCAUCAUGCCCGUGUUUUACUCAAGCACGCAUGUGUGCUUCAAGUGUAUUUCCAUAUGUGCGUGUGUGCGGUCACCUCAGCACCGCAGAGGUUCACCCCGCCCUUGUCAGGGCUCGGUGCCGAGUCACCCAAGUCUCAAAUGGCAACCAAAUGCACACACAUUGCAGGACGCGGAGCUCAGCGGGGGCCAAAGUCAACAGAUGAGCUGGUCUGAACUGGCUUGCUGUGUGUUCUGAUUGUAAAUUGUGCUGGUGAUGAUUAGAGAACUCCAGCACAGGAUGUCGACUCUUAAAACUGUCCAGAGAAAAUAAUUUUCUACUAUGUUCAGGAAAUCUUUUUUUUUUUAAACCCUUUCUCCUUUUACCGUGCAACCCCCCUUACCCUCUCCUCAUCCGACUUUAAUUUAAACAUCAUGGGGAUCUCCAAUAUAUGAGGAUGUGGAUGAAGUUGGUGUGUAAAUUAGUUUAAAACCUCCAGAGGAAGAGAGAAA